CCCUGUUUUGUUUGAAACGAGGGUGUGGAGAAAGAUAAGGAAUAAACAAGAAACAUGUGGAUGGGAGGAGAUGGGAUGGGCUGAUGCUCUCUUUUUUUCAAUGGAUUUUGUUGGUUUCCUUGCUUUUCUAGUUUGUUUUUGUUUUUUGUUUCUCUCUC
rnacentral:ribozyme from 1 species